rnacentral:lncRNA from 1 species
AAGGGAUGUUGCUCUGCAUCAUUUUCUAAUGUUCUUUUUCCCCUUUUGGCUUCAACCUUUUCAGGAGUAAAUUCAAGUAAACAAACUAAAAGCAAAAAUAUUAGAAGUGAAUCUCCUCAUACAUGUUCAGGGAAGAUAUUUUAAACAAACCAAAGCUAAACCUUUAUCAAGUCAAGCUCUUCCACAGUUAGUGUAAUUUCCACCAGUUCCUCUCCUCAUGACUACAAUGUCUGUCUGAUCCUAGAAACUCUUUUUUGGUUUUAGUCCUUGUGCUCACUUGUAGCUACCAUAAGGUAGCUUCCGUACAUAUGGUUUUUCUCUCUGCUGAUGUCUAUCCUAGGAAAGAUCUUGUCAAGAGAGGACUUACUGAGCCCAGUCAGGCACUGCCUGUGGUGACUUUGACUUGCAUCUAUCCGAGUCCCUGGGAGGUUGGUAAUCCCUGGUGGAUGGUGGGACUGUGAAAAUGGAGCUUAUCAGGCUGCCCUGCAAAUCAGCAGACAGCACAAACAAGUCUGAGCCUGAAGGUCUAAUAUUUCCUCCUCUGGAAACAGGAAGUAAUAUCUGCAUUUAUUUAUGAAGGAGGGAUCUGCCCUAUUUGAAGGCAAGUUUUGUUUUCUGCUGUUGAUUUCAUGACAGACAGCAACAUUUUAUCCAUGCCAAUAGAAAACUUAAAAUAACUUCCACAUUUAUUAGCUAUUGCCAAACUCCCUUGGUGUACAUUUUUAACAUAACUUCCAGUCCCUGGUGCUACCUCACACUUCAUGUGUUUCCAGGCUAGAAUCAAAUAACCAUUGAUUUCCUGAGCAGGCAUGAAUUUUGUCUCAGGAGUUGUUGCUCUGCCUGAGCCUCCAUUUCAUGUUCUACCUCUGUGCAAAGACAGCAUCAGGUAGAUGUGGUGGGAACAUCACCCCCUACUACCCUGUCCAGUGGCCCAUUAAAAGGUGUUGGGAAACUUGGGAAUCCAGCAGUUUACAGCUAUAUAUGAAAAGUUAGGGAAAGAAAGGAUUUGAGGAAUGUGUGUUAACUAGAUCCAGCUGAAGAGGUAGAAAUGAGGAAUUUCAGUCGUAGCUGACGUUAGCAGUACCCAUAAGUACUUCAUAAGUACAGGAAUACAGCCACAAGCUCUACAGGAUUAGCACGCAGGUAAGACUGACUUAAGUGAAGAUGAGCCAAAGAGAUGAGGUGAAAGGAGAAUGAGGUAGGAGUGAGGGAAUUUGGAGGGCAAGACCAAAACCGUACCAAUAGAAAGAUGAGGGAAAUUGAACGAGGAAACUGAGAUAAAACAGAAACCACCUAGCUAAGGAUGCCAUGCCCUCAUAAGCUUCAAGGUUAGGAGGACUGCUACAGCACCUAGACUGGUCUCAGAGCCAACUUGACCUUGCUGAUGAGGAGACAGGGCUCUGGAUAAACACAGGGCAUGAGACCACUGUUGAGGAGCACCAGGAGCAGGGCUGCCCCACAGGGGUACAGACCAAAGCCUGAGGGCAACCCCAGCACAGGCAGUACCCUCACUGCCAUGGGGUCAUCCUACAGUACCUGAAUGCUGAGGGUUGAGCCAGGUGUUGGUAACAAGGUCCAUCAGCUCCCCCAGUGUAGCGAGGGGACAGUACAAAAGUUUCUUUGAGGGCUCCAGUCAGCAGCAACUCAGCAACUGGAGAUGGGUUUGGCGACAUUGCUCUAAAGUAAAUCCCAGCUCCAUUCAGGAAUUAUAGCUAAAGAGAACCAACACACAACCAGCCAGAGGCCCUGGGCUGAGCUUAAAUGAACUCUGGAGGCCUUGGGCAGAGAGAGGGUGUGGGGGAGGCCCAGCUGAGGCUGGUUGUGUACUGUAAGGCCUAUUAGAGCCCUCAAGGCCCAGGCAAGUACAAAGAAUAAAAGUAGCCUGUGUGUCA